CGCCAGCCUGACGGAGCCAGACCGCGUGGGGGAGGAAGGCCCUUGGGUUGUAAACCCCUUUUCUCAGGGAAGAAACCUGACGGUACCUGAGGAAAAAGCCUCGGCUAACUCCGUGCCAGCAGCCGCGGUAAUACGGAGGAGGCAAGCGUUAUCCGGAAUUAUUGGGCGUAAAGCGUCCGCAGGGGGCGCAUCAAGUCUGCUGUCAAAGGUCGGAGCUUAACUCCGGAAAGGCAGUGGAAACUGAAGCGCUAGAGUGCGGUAGGGGUAGAGGGAAUUCCCGGUGUAGCGGUGAAAUGCGUAGAGAUCGGGAAGAACAUCGGUGGCGAAAGCGCUCUACUGGGCCGCAACUGACACUCAGGGACGAAAGCUAGGGGAGCG
rnacentral:rRNA from 1 species